AGAGGUUUCUUUGAGGCCCAAUUUGAGGCCCAUUAUCUUGGAAAUACAAAAUCUUAACCACUAAACACAACAUUGAAAGAGUACUGAGAAAUCUGCAACCAACCAUGUCGUCUUCCCCCUUUCCGAUUACCGUUCACUACCGUCACUGCCGCCCUUCGCCGCCGAACUAUGUUUCAGCUAUCACAACAAGCCAUUUCAUGAGUUUCAGCUCACCUUCCUCACCUUCAACCAAUCUCCACCGUUCAUUUCCCUUAUUCAAGCGCGAUUCUCGCUUCCACCGUUGCUGCGCCACCAGUUCGCCAUCCGAACCGCCGCCGGAGAAUCAGCUACCUCCAUCUUUAGGUGAAUCACCGAAGGAUACUCUGCAGAUUUUCUUUGCCGUGCUAUUCUGGAUGUCACUUUUCUUCUGGUCUUGCGCAUGGGAUCGAGGAAAUAGUGGCAGAUCAGACAAGGGCCCUCGAUUUAGGAAAUAACUCCAUUAGGUUAUGUGUUGUGGAUAUAUACUUAUACUACAAGUUAGCGUAGAAUGGGGGUAUUGAGUGGUAGGACUAUGAGCAGUCAGAUUUGAGGUUACAAUAUAAUGAUAUUAUUGUAUAUUACGAAGUUGAGGUUAUAGAUCCACCAAAUUUAUUAUAUUUACCUUUGCUUUAA